ACGAACGCUGGCGGCGUGCCUAACACAUGCAAGUCGAACGGGGCCCAACCAGUGGCAACACUGGGGAAGGCCGAGUGGCGAACGGGUGAGUAACACGUGAGGAACCUGCCCCGAAGACCGGGAUAAGCCGGGGAAACCUGGUCUAAUACCGGAUGUCCCCACCGGAUCGCAUGGUCCGGUGAGGAAAUGGAUUCCGCUUCGGGAGGGCCUCGCGGCCUAUCAGCUCGUUGGUGAGGUAACGGCUCACCAAGGCUUUGACGGGUAGCUGGUCUGAGAGGACGAUCAGCCACACUGGGACUGAGACACGGCCCAGACUCCUACGGGAGGCAGCAGUGGGGAAUCUUGCCCAAUGGGCGCAAGCCUGAGGCAGCAACGCCGCGUGGGGGAUGAAGGCUUUCGGGUUGUAAACCCCUUUCAGCAGGGACGAUCGUGACGGUACCUGCAGAAGAAGCUCCGGCCAACUACGU
rnacentral:rRNA from 1 species